AUUGAACGCUGGCGGCAGGCCUAACACAUGCAAGUCGAACGAGUGGCGGACGGGUGAGUAAUGUGUGGGAAACUGCCUGAUGGAGGGGGAUAACUACUGGAAACGGUAGCUAAUACCGCAUACCAUCAGAUGUGCCCAGAUGGGAUUGGCUGGUUGGUGGGGUAACGGCUCACCAAGGCGGCGAUCCCUAGCUGGUCUGAGAGGGUGACCAGCCACACUGGAACUGAGCCAGGGUCCAGACCCCUCAGGGAGGCAGCAGGGGGGAAUAUUGCACAAUGGGCGCAAGCCUGAUGCAGCCAUGCCGCGUGUAUGAAGAAGGCCUUCGGGUUGUAAAGUACUUUCAGCGGGGAGACGUUACCCGCAGAAGAAGCACCGGCUAACUCCGUGCCAGCAGCCGCGGUAAUAC
rnacentral:rRNA from 1 species